AGAACGAACGCUGGCGGCAUGCCUAAUACAUGCAAGUCGAACGAACUCUUCGGAGUUAGUGGCGCACGGGUGCGUAACGCGUGGGAAUCUGCCCCUUGGUUCGGAAUAACAGUUGGAAACGACUGCUAAUACCGGAUGAUGACGAAAGUCCAAAGAUUUAUCGCCAAGGGAUGAGCCCGCGUAGGAUUAGCUAGUUGGUGAGGUAAAGGCUCACCAAGGCAACGAUCCUUAGCUGGUCUGAGAGGAUGAUCAGCCACACUGGGACUGAGACACGGCCCAGACUCCUACGGGGAGCAGCAGGUAGGGAAUAGUUGGACAA
rnacentral:rRNA from 1 species